rnacentral:rRNA from 1 species
AGCGGCGGACGGGUGAGUAACGCGUAGGAAUCUACCCAGUAGUGGGGGACAACUCGGGGAAACCCGAGCUAAUACCGCAUACGCCCUAAGGGGGAAAGCAGGGGAUCUUCGGACCUUGCGCUAUCGGAUGAGCCUGCGUCGGAUUAGCUUGUUGGUGAGGUAAUGGCUCACCAAGGCGACGAUCCGUAGCUGGUCUGAGAGGAUGAUCAGCCACACUGGGACUGAGACACGGCCCAGACUCCUACGGGAGGCAGCAGUGGGGAAUAUUGGACAAUGGGGGAAACCCUGAUCCAGCCAUGCCGCGUGUGUGAAGAAGGCUCUAGGGUUGUAAAGCACUUUCAGUAGGGAGGAAAAGUUGAUAGCUAAUAACUGUCAGCCCUGACGUUACCUACAGAAGAAGCACCGGCAAACUCCGUGCCAGCAGCCGCGGUAAUACGGAGGGUGCGAGCGUUAAUCGGAAUUACUGGGCGUAAAGCGCGCGUAGGCGGUUUGAUAAGCUGGAUGUGAAAGCCCCGGGCUCAACCUGGGAACUGCAUCCAGAACUGUCUGACUAGAGUACAGUAGAGGGU